rnacentral:rRNA from 1 species
AUUGAACGCUGGCGGCAUGCCUAACACAUGCAAGUCGAACGGGGGUAGCAAUACCCUAGUGGCGGACGGGUGAGGAACGCGUAGGAAUCGGCCCACGAGUGGGGGACAACCUGGGGAAACUCAGGCUAAUACCGCAUGAGCUCGAGAGAGGAAAGCGGGGGAUCGUAAGACCUCGCGCUGGUGGAGGAGCCUACGUCCGAUUAGCUGGUUGGUGAGGUAAUAGCUCACCAAGGCGACGAUCGGUAGCGGGUCUGAGAGGACGACCCGCCACACUGGGACUGAGACACGGCCCAGACUCCUACGGGAGGCAGCAGUGGGGAAUCUUGGACAAUGGGCGCAAGCCUGAUCCAGCAAUGCCGCGUGGGUGAAGACGGCCUGCGGGUUGUAAAGCCCUUUAGGCGGGGAGGAACGACCGGGCGCGUAACAUCGUUCGGAAGUGACGUUACCCGCGGAAUAAGCACCGGCUAACUCCGUGCCAGCAGCCGCGGUAAU